rnacentral:rRNA from 1 species
GAUGAACGCUGGCGGUGCGCCUAAUACAUGCAAGUCGAACGAGAAGCUAAAUUUAUUUAGUGGACAGUGGCGGACGAGCGAGUAACACGUGAGAACCUGCCCCAUACUCGGGGACAACCCAUCGAAAGGUGGGCUAAUACCGGAUAGUCUCGAAAGAGUAAAGAUUUAUCGGUGUGGGAGGGGCUCGCGGCUUAUCAGUUUGCUGGUGGAGUAAUGGCCUACCAAGACUAUGACGAGUAGCUGGUGUGAGAGCACGACCAGCCGCGAUGGGACUGAGACACGGCCCAU